rnacentral:rRNA from 1 species
CCUACGGGAGGCAGCAGUGAGGAAUAUUGGUCAAUGGACGAGAGUCUGAACCAGCCAAGUAGCGUGAAGGAUGACUGCCCUAUGGGUUGUAAACUUCUUUUAUAAAGGAAUAAAACGAGGCACGUGUGCCUUUUUGCAUGUACUUUAUGAAUAAGGAUCGGCUAACUCCGUUCCAGCAGCCGCGGUAAUACGGAGGAUCCGAGCGUUAUCCGGAUUUUUUGGGUUUAAAGGGCUCGUAGAUGGGUUGUUAAGUCAGUUGUGAAAGUUUUCGGAUCAACCGUAAAAUUGCAAUUGAUACUGGCAGUCUUGAGUACAGUUGAGGUAGGCGGAAUUCGUGGUGUAGCGGUGAAAUGCUUAGAUAUCACGAAGAACUCCGAUUGAGAAGGCAGCUUACUAAACUGUGACUGACAUUGAUGCUCGAAAGUGUGGGUAUCAAACAGGAUUAGAUACCCCAGUAGUC